rnacentral:siRNA from 1 species
CCCAUCCUACUACUACUCUCGCC